UUGUAUAAAAGUCCUAUGUCUAUGAAGUUAUGAAGUAAGAGACUUGAAAUUUAAAAUGUAUGCUCUAUAUAUGGUGAGAAGGUGUCAAAAUAAUGUAUCUUUAGAAAUCAACUCCUUUUUGGGGUUAAAACGGGGGAUGGUAGGUUGAGUCACUCAUCACGAAAUCUCCGAAACUAUAACAGCUAUUAACUUGAAAUUUGGCAAAUAU
rnacentral:misc_RNA from 1 species